AGGAUAAACGCUGGCGGCGUGCCUAAUGCAUGCAAGUCGAACGGAGUAGGCCUUCGGGCUUACUGAGUGGCGGACGGGUGAGGAACACGUACGAGACCUGCCCUCGGAUGGGGAAUAAGCCCUCGAAAGGGGGUCUAAUGCCGCAUACGGUCCCAAGCAGCAAGGUUUGGGAGGAAAGCUCGAGAGGGCGUCCGAGGAGGGGCGUGCGGCCGAUUAGCUAGUUGGUGGGGUAAAGGCCUACCAAGGCGACGAUCGGUAGCUGGUCUGAGAGGAUGGUCAGCCACACUGGGACUGAGAUACGGCCCAGACUCCUACGGGAGGCAGCAGCAGGGAAUCUUGCGCAAUGGGCGAAAGCCUGACGCAGCAACGCCGCGUGGGUGAAGAAGGCUCUCGGGUCGUAAAGCCCGUUUUCUGGGGGAAGAAGUUCUGACGGUACCCCAGGAAGAAGCCACGGCUAACUACGUGCCAGCAGCCGC
rnacentral:rRNA from 1 species